rnacentral:rRNA from 1 species
GAUGAACGCUGGCGGCGUGCCUAACACAUGCAAGUCGAGCGAGAAGCUCAUGACGGACGCUUCGGUUGAAGUCACGAGUGGAAAGCGGCGGACGGGUGAGUAACGCGUAGGCAACCUGCCCUUUGCAGAGGGAUAGCCUCGGGAAACCGGGAUUAAAACCUCAUAAUACCGCAGGGAGACAUCUCACAGUGGUCAAAGAUUUAUCGGCAAAGGAUGGGCCUGCGUCUGAUUAGUUAGUUGGUGGGGUAACGGCCUACCAAGGCGACGAUCAGUAGCCGACCUGAGAGGGUGAUCGGCCACAUUGGAACUGAGACACGGUCCAAACUCCUACGGGAGGCAGCAGUGGGGAAUAUUGCACAAUGGGGGAAACCCUGAUGCAGCAACGCCGCGUGAAGGAUGAAGGCCUUUGGGUCGUAAACUUCUGUUCUAAGGGAAGAUAGUGACGGUACCUUAGGAGCAAGUCCCGGCUAACUACGUGCCAGCCGCCGCGGUAACAC